UCUCCGUUGGUGAACCAGCGGAGGGAUCAUUAAAAAGCGAGUCUCGCGACUCUCAAACCCUUUGUGAACUUAUUCAGUUGAGCUGCUUCGGCAGGUCGCCCCCUGUGGGUGGCCUGCCGGCCGGCUCGCCAACCAAACUCUUUGUUAUCUUAAGGACCUCUGAGUUAAAAACAAAAUCUAUUAAAACUUUCAACAACGGAUCUCUUGGUUCUGGCAUCGAUGAAGAACGCAGC
rnacentral:misc_RNA from 1 species